CUUUGGGAUAACCCUCGGAAACGGGGGCUAAUACCGGAUAUUCACAUUCUGUCGCAUGGUGGGGUGUGGAGAGUUUUUUCGGCUUGGGAUGGGCUCGCGGCCUAUCAGCUUGUUGGUGGGGUGAUGGCCUACCAAGGCGACGACGGGUAGCCGGCCUGAGAGGGCGACCGGCCACACUGGGACUGAGACACGGCCCAGACUCCUACGGGAGGCAGCAGUGGGGAAUAUUGCACAAUGGGCGGAAGCCUGAUGCAGCGACGCCGCGUGAGGGAUGACGGCCUUCGGGUUGUAAACCUCUUUCAGCACCGACGAAGCGAGAGUGACGGUAGGUGCAGAAGAAGCGCCGGCCAACUACGUGCCAGCAGCCGCGGUAAGACGUAGGGCGCGAGCGUUGUCCGGAUUUAUUGGGCGUAAAGAGCUCGUAGGCGGCUUGUCGCGUCGACUGUGAAAUUCCACGGCUUAACUGUGGGCUUGCAGUCGAUACGGGCAGGCUGGAGUUCGGUAGGGGAGACUGGAAUUCCUGGUGUAGCGGUGAAAUGCGCAGAUAUCAGGAGGAACACCGGUGGCGAAGGCGGGUCUCCGGGCCGAUACUGACGCUGAGGAGCGAAAGCGUGGGGAGCGAACAGGAUUAGAUACCCUGGUAGUCCACGCUGUAAACGUUGGGCGC
rnacentral:rRNA from 1 species